rnacentral:rRNA from 1 species
UACGUAGGGGGCGAGCGUUGUUCGGAAUUACUGGGCGUAAAGGGCGCGUAGGCGGCGACUCUAGUCAGAUGUGAAAGUCCUGGGCUUAACCUGGGGACUGCAUUUGAUACUGGGUUGCUUGAAUUCGGGAGAGGAUAGCGGAAUUCCCAGUGUAGAGGUGAAAUUCGUAGAUAUUGGGAAGAACACCGGUGGCGAAGGCGGCUAUCUGGACCGACAUUGACGCUGAGGCGCGAAAGCGUGGGGAGCAAACAGG